rnacentral:rRNA from 1 species
UACGGAGGGUGCAAGCGUUAUCCGGAUUCACUGGGUUUAAAGGGUGCGUAGGCGGGCAGGUAAGUCAGUGGUGAAAUCCCCGGGCUUAACUUGGGAACUGCCGUUGAUACUAUCUGUCUUGAAUAUCGUGGAGGUGAGUGGAAUAUGUCAUGUAGCGGUGAAAUGCUUAGAUAUGACAUAGAACACCCAUUGCGAAGGCAGCUCACUACACGAUAAUUGACGCUGAGGCACGAAAGCGUGGGGAGCAAACAGG